UAGAGAGAUAGGAAUUGAACCUACAAUUAAGAGAUCAAAACUCUUCGUAAUUCC
rnacentral:tRNA from 1 species